GCAUCUCCAAUGCUAGUUCUUAGUUCUUAGCACUAUUCAUAUGAGUCUGUACUCUCAUAUGUGCUUAAGCAACUCUUUGCAGAUUUUGCUCCAACCAUGAGUUCUUAGUUCUUUAUUCUUAACACUAUUCAUCCGGUCUCACAAUAGCAUUAUAUUAAUAUUUUUUAUUUUCACAUAAUUUUGAUUUAAAUUUAAAUGCUAAUUCAAUACUUAAAUUAAAUGAAUGAGAGAAAAAAAAAAUUAAUUGUAUAGCAACGCAGUUGCAGAUCAUUUAGUUCGGAGAGGUGCUGCUGCUAUGAGUUCUGGGUCUUGGAUUAUUCCGAGACCAGACCAUGAUGUUGAGUACCUUCUGUUGAAGGACUCUCUUUCUAUUCCUUAGUUUUUUGUUUGUUUGUUUUGUAAUUUUCCGAUGAAGCAAAAAAAAAAAAAGUAAAACUUCUUAUAUAAAAACUUAGUUCUUAUUUUUAAAAACUAAGAACUCCACAUCAUCAACUCGAGUGGUUACGGAGUUCUUAACUCAAAAAUAAGAACUAAGAACCUUGCAUUGAAGAUGCUCUAAUGCGAUUGAUAUGGUAUAUAGUUGCUUUUAGAUUCUGGGUAAUUUGUAGUGAUGUUUGUUCCCUUGAUGUUCUACUAGUUGGUUACUCAAAUAGUCAACUAUAGUAACUGCGCAUAUGCAACUAACUAGACCUAAGUUUUGUGCUUUUAAUAUUCCAAUCAGUUGUGUCUCCGAUCCUAUGUGUAGAAACCAUUGAAACAAUUUAAUUUGUGUGUGAUUUAACCGUAAAUAAUCUAUGUGGGGCACCUUUAUGAUAAUUCAUAAAAAUGACUUUCUUAUCUAAUUUUGUGAAGUCUCAUAAUUGACUUUCUCAAAAUUGAAUUUGAGACUUAAAUCAAUUAACAUGUUUGGUUUUACGUUAAAAUCUAUCCAAAUCACUUUUUUAUUCUCAAAAGUUAUUUCCAAUAGUUUCUUUUAAAUGCACUUUUCCGCUCAAUGUGAAACCUAACCAAUUUUUAAAUGUAAACUUUGUGAGUGCUUUGUUCCACGUUUUGAAUUUUUGGAGUUUAGUUCUAAAGUCAAUAUAGAGUAACUUUUGUAGUUGGUUUAAUAAAUUGUUAAGAUUUUAUAACAUUACCUUAUAUAAAUUAUUUUUUCCAUGUAAAUAGUACUCCCUCCGUCCCUAAUUAUAAGCUAACAUUGAGACUUUUUUUGUGUCACUUGGCAAGUUUUGACACUUGGCAUCCAUUGAGGGAGGUUUCAACAUUUUUUGUAAGAUUAAAAAAAAUCAAAAAGAAAAUAUUAUUACUACUUUUAGAAACUUGAGAGUGGCAUCUUUGCUAAUUGUAUUUUUAUUGAAGGGUAGCCAUGUAAUAGCACCUGAAAUUUACUUUAUUUUCGAAUUAUUUUUAACCUUUAAUCUGAGUAACAUUAAUUAUUAAUUCACAUUAACUAUCCACUACCUAUUUCUAAGCCAAUCACUAUUUAACAACUUAAACCAUUUUAAAAAUUUGUUCACAAUCUAUUUAAUGUCACCAUGACCUACUCAAUUCACGUUCAAAAAAAUCUACUCAAUUCAAUUCAAUGUACCUUGCAGAUUGAAACAAGUGGGUUAUCCCAAAUUUUAAAUAAACAUUUAAAACUGAAUUUGAAUUAAAAUGAAAUUAAGAGAGCCCAAUUUUUCGAAGCCUUUUCAGAUUUUAAUUCUAUUGAACAAAAAACCCUGACUUUGCAUAGCACGCCUCUGUCUUUUCCCCUCCCAAGCCAUUGUUGGAAACGUAAACCUCUUUAUUCUUUUUGAAAAGGAACUUCCAACGCAAAUCUCAAGCUUCCAUACCCUGCUUGACCCAUUAGUUAGCAUAAAGCCUGGAGCUCUUCCACCGAAACUGCAUCACAAUUUUGCUAGAAGAUGUAGAAGACGAAGUGCUUUCGUUUCUGCUCUCUCACUCUCUGAUGCUGUCGUUUCUGCAUCACAUUUUUUCUCAAUUUUUUGUGUCUCAUUUGAUUUCAUAGGUUCGCUGCAGUCUCUUGAAUAAUAUAGUGGAGCAACUACCCAUCUAUCUGCAGAACAAUAUAUGUGAAAUGAAUCCAGAUGCAAAUGAGAUUGGAAAAGAAGAACAAUGAGAAUCAUGUCUAAGGGAGAUUUUGAUAAAUUCCAUUUUCAUAAUUUAUGUCAUCCCCCAUCAUAUGCUUUGUGGGUUGAGAAUUCGCCAUUCUGCAGUGAUGGUUGGAAACAUUAGCUGUAUAUUACGCAUGGAACACACCCCUGAGGAUGCUUUUCAUGGUUUCUAGAUUGAAUAAUCUCUUGAAGAGCUUGCACCUGCUUGCAUCUUGGAACUCCUGAGCAUGUCAAAUACCCCUGAAAAUUUUGAUAGGAGACGUGGAGCAAUAGCAGCUUUGUGAGAACUGCUUAGACAGGGUCUUGAUGUUGGAGCUUCAUGCUAAGUACAUGACUGGCCUUCCUUUCUAAGCCAAGCAUUGGGAAGUUUGCUGGCUAAUGAGAUAGGUUAUCUCCUUCCUUGGAAUAUCUUAGCUGUGAUGCGAAAGAAUAAGUAGACAAUUGAAUCACAGAAUUUAAGAGUAAUACUAUAUUCAAGUUGUUUCUAUAUAAUUUUUACAGCUCAUUUGGCACUUCGAUUUUCCAGCAAGCAAAAAGAAUUGAUUAACAAAGCAAAAAACAUAUCUGAUUGUUUGAUGGCUUCAGAUGGCUUUGAUCUGAAAUUUGAGGAAGCUUUCUGCUUAUUCCUUCUUGGAAUGCAUAUUCUUUGAUCAUGAUGUCUUAACUUCUAGGGCACAAAGGCUGAGGCGGUUGAAAAGCUUUAGCAGCUUGAGCUGAACUCAAAUCCAAAGCAUAACUCUGUCUUGGGGAAGGCAAUAAUUGAUGCUUCUGAUGCUAACCCAUCUUUGCUGAAGAUGACAGUGGAAUUGAACCUGCUAAUACAAUGCAAUUAAACUUGGAGACCAUAAGAAAGGGUACAAAUAACUUUUCCGACACAAAUAUUCUAGGACAAAGGAUUUGGACCUGUUUACAAGGGUAAGCAUUCCAAUGGAUUAGAGGUUAUUUACAAAUUCAGGACAAGGGGAUGAGGAAUUCAAGAACGAGGUGUAGUUGGUGGCCAAGCUACAACACAUAAAUUUAGUCAGGCUACUUGGUUUCAGUUUGGAAAGAGUAGAGAAGUUACUGGUCUAUGAGUUUGUUCCCAAUAAAAGCCUUUACUACUUUAUUUUUGGUGAGAACUUUUCUUGAUGUGAUGGCAGUGGCCCCUUCACUGAUAAUUCAGUUCUGCUGAAUGGUAAGUGCAUAAUUUCUGUUGAGAUGGUUAAAAAUGUUAUGUCUUGACAUGGGUUUGCAGAUCCAGUUAAGCGUGCACAUUUAGAAUGGUCAGUUUUGGUUGUAUGGUCUUGCUGAUUAGCAUGUUUACUGAAUGGCAUAUAGGAUAGCUAACACUUUUUAAUAGUCAUUGCUCAUGUUAUGUCAGGUGGUUGAUAUAUUUCAUGAUAAUUCAUAUC